rnacentral:rRNA from 1 species
UACGUAGGGCGCAAGCGUUGUCCGGAAUUAUUGGGCGUAAAGAGCUCGUAGGCGGCUUGUCACGUCGGAUGUGAAAGCCCGGGGCUUAACCCCGGGUCUGCAUUCGAUACGGGCAGGCUAGAGUGUGGUAGGGGAGAUCGGAAUUCCUGGUGUAGCGGUGAAAUGCGCAGAUAUCGGGAAGAACACCCGUGGCGAAGGCGGUUCUCUGGGACGGUACUGACGCUGAGACGCGAAAGCGUGGGGAGCGAACAGG